UCGCGUAUUCAAGCUAUAACAAAGGAAUUGCGAUUCAACAAGACGAGUGUAAAUGGAACCUGAUUGGAGACCGAAGAUGAAGAAACAGAAAUCCAGAGGGGAGGCUCCGAGCAACUAACCCGAAAUAAACGUAGCGGAUGAAGGAGUUCUUCAGGUUGAUGGUGAGAAAUUGAUUUGGGUUGAGUUUAGUAUGCAGGUUAUGGUGCUGUUAGCUGGUGAUACAUAUAACGCAGAUUGGAACUAUCAUAAAGCGCUAAUUAAAUCAAUAUGAUUUUGGAAGGUGAAGGUGAAGGAGGAGAAAAUCAAGGCCAAAAAUUGUUGCUGCAACUUAUCUGAAAAACCACACUCGCCGUAAUGUUGAUAGCAGCGGCGCCACGCCUUCUAAUGUGAGC